AGCAUGACGCAGCAACGCCGCGUGCGGGACGAAGGCUCUCGGGUUGUAAACCGCUUUCAGCAGGAACGAAAUUGACGGUACCUGCAGAAGAANGCUNGCGGCCAACUACGUGCCAGCAGCCGCGGUGAUCACGUAGGCGGNGCGAGCGUNGUCCGGAUNNCAUUGGGCGUAAAGAGCUCGUAGGCGGUUCGGUAAGUCGGGUGUGAAAACUCCGGGCUCAACCCGGGGAUGCCAUCCGAUACUGCCGUGACUAGAGUNCGGUAGGGGAUCGGGGAAUUCCUGGUGUAGCGGUGAAAUGCGCAGAUAUCAGGAGGAACACCGGUGGCGAAGGCGGCGAUCUGGGCCGAUACUGACGCUGAGGAGCGAAAGCGUGGGUAGCAAACAGGAUUAGAUACCCUGGUAGUCCACGCCGUAAACGUUGGGCACUAAGUAGAGGGGU
rnacentral:rRNA from 1 species